rnacentral:rRNA from 1 species
ACUCAAAGGAAUUGACGGGGGAGCGCACAACCGGUGGAGCAUGUGGUUUAAUUCGAUACAAAGCGAAAAACCUUACCUAGAUUUGACAUGUACCUGCACGGCCUAUGAAAGUAGGCCUUCUUCGAGAGUGGUACACAGGUGAUGCAUGGCUGUCGUCAGCUCGUGUCGUGAGACGUCUCUUUAAGUAGAGUAACGAGCGCAACCCUUAUCGUCAGUUACAAGUGUCUGACGAGACUGCCCUGGCUAUGCCAGGGAGGAAGGAGAGGACGACGUCAAGUCAGCACGUCCCUUACAUCUAGGGCUACACACAUCCUACAAUGGAGCCGACAACGGGUUUUGCAAAACCGCAAGGUAGAGCCAAUCCCCAAACGGCUCCUCAGUUCAGAUUGAGGGCUGCAACCCGCCCUCAUGAAGUUGGAAUCGGUAGUAAUCGCAAAUCAGCAGGUUGCGGUGAAUACGUUCUCGCUCCUUGUACACACCGCCCGU